AGCGAACGCUGGCGGCAGGCUUAACACAUGCAAGUCGAGCGCCCCGCAAGGGGAGCGGCAGACGGGAGAGUAACACGUGGGAACAUACCUUUUGGUUCGGAACAACUGAGGGAAACUUCAGCUAAUACCGGAUAAGCCCUUACGGGGAAAGAUUUAUCGCCGAAAGAUUGGCCCGCGUCUGAUUAGCUAGUUGGUGAGGUAACGGCUCACCAAGGCGACGAUCAGUAGCUGGUCUGAGAGGAUGAUCAGCCUCGCUGGGACUGAGACACGGCCCAGACUCCUACGGGAGGCAGCAGUAGGGAAUAUUGGACAAUGGGGGCAACCCUGAUCCAGCCAUGCCGCGUGAGUGAUGAAGGCCUUAGGGUUGUAAAGCUCUUUUGCCCGGGAAGAUAAUGACGGUACCGGGAGAAUAAGCCCCGGCUAACUUCGUG
rnacentral:rRNA from 1 species